UGGGGAAUCUUGCACAAUGGGCGAAAGCCUGAUGCGGCAACGCCGCGUGCGGGAAGAAGGCCCUAGGGUUGUAAACCGCUUUCAGCAGGGAAGGAAAUGACGGUACCUGUAGAAGAAGGUGCGGCCAACUACGUGCCAGCAGCCGCGGUGACACGUAGGCACCAAGCGUUGUCCGGAUUUAUUGGGCGUAAAGAGCUCGUAGGCGGUUCGGUAAGUCGGGUGUGAAAACUCUGGGCUCAACCCAGAGACGCCACCCGAUACUGCUGUGACUAGAGUGCGGUAGGGGAGCGGGGAAUUCCUGGUGUAGCGGUGAAAUGCGCAGAUAUCAGGAGGAACACCAGUGGCGAAGGCGCCGCUCUGGGCCGUGACUGACGCUGAGGAGCGAAAGCGUGGGUAGCAAACAGGAUUAGAUACCCUGGUAGUCCACGCCGUAAACGUUGGGCACUAGGUGUGGGUCUCAACCAACGAGAUCCGCGCCGUCGCUAACGCAUUAAGUGCCCCGCCUGGGGAGUACGGUCGCAAGACUAA
rnacentral:rRNA from 1 species